rnacentral:misc_RNA from 1 species
CAGCCAGCAGUCACUCCUACUAAGGUAUGCUCAUCCUUCCUCUCUCUCUCUCUCCUCUUCUCCUUCUUCUUUCCUCUCUUUCUUCUCCUCUUCUUCCAUUCUCACGAAUACCAACACAGCAGACAAGACAACACCCACCCACCUAUCAUUUUCCUUUCUUUUUACUUUUUCCUUCUUUUUUCUCCUUCUUCUUUUCUCUCUUUCUUCUCCUCUUCUUCCAUUUUCAAGAAUAUCAACACAGCAAACAAGAC